rnacentral:rRNA from 1 species
UACGGAGGGGGCUAGCGUUGUUCGGAAUUACUGGGCGUAAAGCGCACGUAGGCGGCUUUGCAAGUCAGAGGUGAAAGCCCGGGGCUCAACCCCGGAAUUGCCUUUGAGACUGCGUCGCUAGAAUUGUGGAGAGGUAAGUGGAAUUCCGAGUGUAGAGGUGAAAUUCGUAGAUAUUCGGAAGAACACCAGUGGCGAAGGCGACUUACUGGACACAUAUUGACGCUGAGGUGCGAAAGCGUGGGGAGCAAACAGG